rnacentral:rRNA from 1 species
GACGAACGCUGGCGGCGUGCUUAACACAUGCAAGUCGAACGGAAAGGCCCUGCUUUUGUGGGGUGCUCGAGUGGCGAACGGGUGAGUAACACGUGAGUAACCUGCCCUUGACUUUGGGAUAACUUCAGGAAACUGGGGCUAAUACCGGAUAGGAGCUCCUGCUGCAUGGUGGGGGUUGGAAAGUUUCGGCGGUUGGGGAUGGACUCGCGGCUUAUCAGCUUGUUGGUGGGGUAGUGGCUUACCAAGGCUUUGACGGGUAGCCGGCCUGAGAGGGUGACCGGCCACAUUGGGACUGAGAUACGGCCCAGACUCCUACGGGAGGCAGCAGUGGGGAAUAUUGCACAAUGGGCGGAAGCCUGAUGCAGAAACGCCGCGUGCGGGAAGACGGCCUUCGGGUUGUAAACCGCUUUCGCCUGUGACGAAGCGGGAGUGACGGUAAUGGGUAAAGAAGCACCGGCUAACUACGU